UGGCGGACGGGUGAGUAACGCGUGGGUAACCUGCCUCAUACAGGGGGAUAACAGUUAGAAAUGACUGCUAAUACCGCAUAAGCGCACGAGAUCGCAUGAUAAAGUGUGAAAAACUCCGGUGGUAUGAGAUGGACCCGCGUCUGAUUAGCUGGUUGGCGGGGUAACGGCCCACCAAGGCGACGAUCAGUAGCCGACCUGAGAGGGUGACCGGCCACAUUGGGACUGAGACACGGCCCAAACUCCUACGGAAGGCAGCAG
rnacentral:rRNA from 1 species